rnacentral:rRNA from 1 species
GAUGAACGCUAGCGAUAGGCUUAACACAUGCAAGUCGAGGGGCAGCAUGGUCUUAGCUUGCUAAGACUGAUGGCGACCGGCGCACGGGUGCGUAACGCGUAUGCACCUUGCCUCACAGAGGGGGAUAACCCGUCGAAAGACGGACUAAUACCGCGUACACUUGGGAUAGGGCAUCCUGAACCAAGGCAAUGAAAUUCGCUGUGAGAUAGGCAUGCGUCCCAUUAGCUAGUUGGUGAGGUAACGGCUCACCAAGGCGACGAUGGGUAGGGGAACUGAGAGGUUGAACCCCGACACUGGUACUGGGACACGGACCAGACUCCUACGGGAGGCAGCAGUGAGGAAGAUAGGUCAAUGGGAGAGAGCCUGAACCAGCCAAGUCGCGUGAAGGAUGACUGUCUUAGGGAUUGUAAACUUCUUGUAUACGGGAAUAACAAGAGUCACGUGUGGCUCCCUGCAGGUACCGUAUGAAUAAGCAUCGGCUAACUCCGUG